AUAAGAGUGCUGGGUACCAA
rnacentral:misc_RNA from 1 species